GGGACACGUGGUAUCCUGUCUGAAUAUGGGGGGACCAUCCUCCAAGGCUAAAUACUCCUGACUGACCGAUAGUGAACCAGUACCGUGAGGGAAAGGCGAAAAGAACCCCGGCGAGGGGAGUGAAAAAGAACCUGAAACCGUGUACGUACAAGCAGUGGGAGCACAGAGCAAUCUGUGUGACUGCGUACCUUUUGUAUAAUGGGUCAGCGACUUAUAUUCUGUAGCAAGGUUAACCGAAUAGGGGAGCCGAAGGGAAACCGAGUCUUAACUGGGCGUUAAGUUGCAGGGUAUAGACCCGAAACCCGGUGAUCUAGCCAUGGGCAGGUUGAAGGUUGGGUAACACUAACUGGAGGACCGAACCGACUAAUGUUGAAAAAUUAGCGGAUGACUUGUGGCUGGGGGUGAAAGGCCAAUCAAACCGGGAGAUAGCUGGUUCUCCCCGAAAGCUAUUUAGGUAGCGCCUCGUGAAUUCAUCUCCGGGGGUAGAGCACUGUUUCGGCAAGGGGGUCAUCCCGACUUACCAACCCGAUGCAAACUGCGAAUACCGGAGAAUGUUAUCACGGGAGACACACGGCGGGUGCUAACGUCCGUCGUGAAGAGGGAAACAACCCAGACCGCCAGCUAAGGUCCCAAAGUCAUGGUUAAGUGGGAAACGAUGUGGGAAGGCCCAGACAGCCAGGAUGUUGGCUUAGAAGCAGCCAUCAUUUAAAGAAAGCGUAAUAGCUCACUGGUCGAGUCGGCCUGCGCGGAAGAUGUAACGGGGCUAAACCAUGCACCGAAGCUGCGGCAGCGACGCUUAUGCGUUGUUGGGUAGGGGAGCGUUCUGUAAGCCUGUGAAGGUGUGCUGUGAGGCAUGCUGGAGGUAUCAGAAGUGCGAAUGCUGACAUAAGUAACGAUAAAGCGGGUGAAAAGCCCGCUCGCCGGAAGACCAAGGGUUCCUGUCCAACGUUAAUCGGGGCAGGGUGAGUCGACCCCUAAGGCGAGGCCGAAAGGCGUAGUCGAUGGGAAACAGGUUAAUAUUCCUGUACUUGGUGUUACUGCGAAGGGGGGACGGAGAAGGCUAUGUUGGCCGGGCGACGGUUGUCCCGGUUUAAGCGUGUAGGCUGGUUUUCCAGGCAAAUCCGGAAAAUCAAGGCUGAGGCGUGAUGACGAGGCACUACGGUGCUGAAGCAACAAAUGCCCUGCUUCCAGGAAAAGCCUCUAAGCAUCAGGUAACAUCAAAUCGUACCCCAAACCGACACAGGUGGUCAGGUAGAGAAUACCAAGGCGCUUGAGAGAACUCGGGUGAAGGAACUAGGCAAAAUGGUGCCGUAACUU
rnacentral:rRNA from 1 species